rnacentral:rRNA from 1 species
UACGUAGGGGGCAAGCGUUGUCCGGAAUCAUUGGGCGUAAAGAGCGUGUAGGCGGCUCGGUAAGUCCGCUCUGAAAGCCCGGGGGCUCAACCCCCGGGAGGCGGGCGGAUACUGUCGGGCUAGAGUCCGGAAGAGGCGAGUGGAAUUCCUGGUGUAGCGGUGAAAUGCGCAGAUAUCAGGAGGAACACCAAUGGCGAAGGCAGCUCGCUGGGACGGUACUGACGCUGAGGCGCGAAAGCGUGGGGAGCAAACAGG